AGGCGUCGAUCAGUAGCUGGUCUGAGAGGAUGAUCAGCCACACUGGGACUGAGACACGGCCCAGACUCCUACGGGAGGCAGCAGUGGGGAAUUUUCCGCAAUGGGCGAAAGCCUGACGGAGCAAUACCGCGUGAGGGAGGGAGGCUCUUGGGUUGUAAACCUCUUUUCUCAGGGAAGAAUGAUGUCGGUACCUGAGGAAUAAGCAUCGGCUAACUCCGUGCCAGCAGCCGCGGUAAUACGGAGGAUGCAAGCGUUAUCCGGAAUGAUUGGGCGUAAAGCGUCCGCAGGUGGCAAUGUAAGUCUGCUGUCAAAGCGUCUGGCUCAACCAGAUAAAGGCAGUGGAAACUACAUAGCUAGAGUAAGGUAGGGGUAGAGGGAAUUCCUGGUGUAGCGGUGAAAUGCGUAGAGAUCAGGAAGAACACCGGUGGCGAAAGCGCUCUG
rnacentral:rRNA from 1 species